rnacentral:tRNA from 1 species
GCCAGCAUAGCUCAGAUGGCAGAGCAGCGCACUCGUAAUGCGCAGGUCGCCGGUUCGAAUCCGGCUGCUGGCU